rnacentral:rRNA from 1 species
GAUGAACGCUAGCGGCAGGCUUAAUACAUGCAAGUCGAGGGGUAGCAAGAUUGUAGCAAUACAAUUGUUGACGACCGGCAAACGGGUGCGGAACACGUACACAACCUUCCUACAAGUGGGGAAUAGCCCAGAGAAAUUUGGAUUAAUACCCCGUAACAUAGCGAUGUGGCAUCACAUUGAUAUUAUAGCUUCGGCGCUUGUUGAUGGGUGUGCGGCUGAUUAGAUAGUUGGCGGGGUAACGGCCCACCAAGUCUACGAUCAGUAGCUGACGUGAGAGCAUGAUCAGCCACACGGGCACUGAUACACGGGCCCGACUCCUACGGGAGGCAGCAGUAAGGAAUAUUGGACAAUGAACGCAAGUCUGAUCCAGCCAUGCCGCGUGAAGGAUUAAGGUCCUCUGGAUUGUAAACUUCUUUUAUAAGGGACGAAAAAAGGUCUUUCUAGAUCGUCUGACGGUACCUUAUGAAUAAGCACCGGCUAACUCCGUGCCAGCCGCCGCCGUAAUAC